rnacentral:rRNA from 1 species
GCGCGUCUUACCAUGCAGUCGAACGUGAAGGGGGAGCAAUCUCCUGAAAGUGGCGAACGGGUGAGUAACACGUAGGUGACCUGCCUCGGAGUGGGGGAUAACAGUUGGAAACGGCUGCUAAUACCGCAUAAGGUGAGUAAAGCGGGAGCUUUGCUUGCGAAAACUCUGGUGCUUCGAGAGGGGCCUGCGUCCGAUUAGCUAGUUGGUGGGGUAAAGGCCUACCAAGGCGAUGAUCGGUAGCUGGUCUGAGAGGACGAUCAGCCACACGGGAACUGAGAAACGGUCCCGACUCCUACGGGGGGCAGCAGUGAGGAAUAUUGGGCAAUGGGCGGAAGCCUGACCCAGCAACGCCGCGUGGAGGAUGAAGGCUUUCGGGUCGUAAACUCCUUUUAUGGGGGAAGAGCGAGGACGGUACCCCAGGAAUAAGUCACGGCUAACUACGUGCCAGCAGCCGCGGUAAUACGUAGGUGACGAGCGUUAUCCGGAAUUACUGGGCGUAAAGCGCACGCAGGCGGUUGAGAUAGUCUGGCGUAAAAUCUCCUGGCUUAACUGGGAGGGGUCGUUGGAAACUGCUCGACUUGAGGCAACGAGAGGGGUGUAGAAUUCCCGGUGUAGUGGUGGAAUGCGUAGAUAUCGGGAGGAAUACCAGAGGCGAAAGCGGCACCCUGGCGUUAGCCUGACGCUCAUGUGCGAAGGCGUGGGGAGCGAACGGGAUUAGAUACCCCGGUAGUCCACGCGGUAAACGAUGAAUACUGGGUGUAGGUGAUGUGAAAGUCAUCUGUGCCGAAGCAAACGCGCUAAGUAUUCCGCCUG